rnacentral:rRNA from 1 species
UACGGAGGGGCUAGCGUUGUUCGGAAUUACUGGGCGUAAAGCGCGCGUAGGCGGCUUGUAAGAUUAGAGGUGAAAGCCCGGAGCUCAACUUCGGAAUUGCCUUUAAGACUGAUCGCUAGAAUCAUGGAGAGGUGAGUAGGAAUUCCGAGUGUAGAGGUGAAAUUCGUAGAGUAUUACGGAAAGAACACCAGUGGCGAAGGC